GUCUACGGCCACGCCACCCUGAACAAGCCCAAUCCUGUCUGAUCUCAGAAGCCAAGCAGGGUCGGGCCUGGUUAGUACUUGGAUGGGAGACCACCUAGGAAGACCAGGUGCUGUAGGCA
rnacentral:rRNA from 1 species